CCACAACUUCAUCAGCACACAAAAUCCUUCCCCAUACGCUGUGACAGAGAUGAAUGUCUGGCCGCAUGUGAACCGAUGGCCACAGCAACACGUCUUCAAAUGAAAUGGCUGUGAGAUAUCGAAUCUGCAUCUUUUCUAAAGGACAUGAACAUACACAUUUUCACGAAAGGGAAAAUGUGUUCAGAACUGAAAAUGUGGGGUCAAACUGGGGUUCAAACCCAGAACCUUUUGGCUGGGAGUCAACCUCUAAAACUAGGAUAAUAUUCUGUAUUCUAUCAUCAAAUCGUUGCCAUAGUGUGUCGGUUUUAACCUUUAGUCAUUUUGAACAGCAGACCAUGGCCAGAUAUGUACACCUCAGGUAGACCAUCCAACCCUCUUUCAUCCUAUUAUUUAUGUAUAAAGCCUGUUUAAUGUUCUGUGGUUUCAAACAUAACCCCAUGUUUGUUGUUAUAAUGGUAAAUGGCCUCCAUCACCCUCUGUAACCACUCAAGGAGUUGUACCAUCAGCUCAUGGAGGUCGCUGUGAUCUCUUGCAGCUCCUACAGCGGGGGUCCUGCUGCGGGUCCUGGUGCUGCUGGGCUUCUCCGUCCUGACCCUGGUGGUUCUGCUCCGCCUCAUUGGCUGGUGGAGAACCAGAGGUAACAGGGCGGCAACAGAAGAGUGCAUUGGUCUGAACUCUGCCAGCGACGCCCCGCCAGCCAGAGAACGCCUCGGCCCAGGGGCCAGUGACCAGCAGCAGCACACUGUGGAUAUGGACCUGGACUGGGCUCCCAGGGGCCCCUCUGUGGUCCAGCGUGGUGGGCAGAGGGCAGUAGGCUCAGCACAGGGCCAAGAGGAUCCUGGUCAACUUAGUGAUGCGGCUACCUAUGAAAACCUGAGGGCCCCUCCCAGAUGUGUUGGGGACACUGCAGACAUGGGCGUCCAUUUUGUCACCGUCCACCAACUGUCAAAAUGACAAACGUCUGGAAAGCACGUGAUGAAGCAGGGGGAAGUGUUCGGAGAUAGCUUGUUGUUGUUGUGUACAGAUGCAUUAUAACCCACUGAACAAGCUUUGUUUCCCCUGGUCCUUAAACAAGUAGUUAGGCCUACACAACAAGCCAUAGGUCUACAGUCUGUAGUCCUUAACAAUGUUUAGGCUGUACAUACAUGACUUGACAUUUAUACUUAAUGGAAAUAAAGAAUAAUAAACAUGCUUUUAAAAUUAGUUGAUAUAUUGUCCUUGGCAGGGCGUCAGAGACCAAACUGAUUGUAUGAAAAAGAAUCAACACAAAAGUAUCCAACCCACCUUAUUGGUGAGGUUAAAAAUAUAAUAGUAUGACUAUAUUAAAGCUCUUGCAUUAAAAAAUGUCUUGUUCUACAAAACACCAUAUUCUGUUAUGCUUUAGAUAUGUAGCGUACAAAUGUAACCAACGUGUGCUUUGAAUUGCAAUGCAAUAAAAAUAUUAAUAUUUCUCCA
ensembl:lncRNA